UACGGAGGGCGCGAGCGUUAAUUGGAAUUACUGGGCGUAAAGCGCGCGUAGGCUGUUGUGUAAGUUGGGGGUGAAAUCCCACGGCUCAACCGUGGAACAGCCCUUGAUACUGCGCGACUUGAAUCCGGGAGAGGGUGGCGGAAUUCCAGGUGUAGGAGUGAAAUCCGUAGAUAUCUGGAGGAACAUCAGUGGCGAAGGCGGCCACCUGGACCGGUAUUGACGCUGAGGCGCGAAAGCGUGGGGAGCAAACAGG
rnacentral:rRNA from 1 species